CCCAUCCAGGAUCCCACCUAAGAGACACAGAAUCUUCCCCAGGGCGACAAGACUCUCAUCCUGGAACAGAGACUUGUGUAGCCUACGAUGGGCAAGCCAGAGGGACACAUGGAAACCAAAUCUGUAUCAGCCGCACCGGUGCAGGCAUAGCCAUCCCCAGCCUCAGACUGCUCGCCUCACCUGGCCCAGGCUUCGGUUUCCUCCCUCAAGGCUGAGUCUUCCUGAAGGAGCACUCCAGGAGACUUGGUCCCGCCCUCAGGCGCGAUUAGGGUGGAGUAGACCAACUGAACUCCCGUCGGAUUCCGCCAGCAUCUCUGGAUGUGAUCGCAGCCUAGUGCUUCAGCUGCGGUACCACCGCCAAAAACGUGUGGCACAGAGCCUGCGCUCAGUGUCCCUCUUGAAUGGUUGGGAAGACGGGCUGCUUGUCCUCAGGCAAUCAGUGCUACCGCUGCUGUUUCCUUCUUUCUCCAACAUUCUCGAGCCUAAAUUCUCCCUGCUUAGGCCACAGGGUCAGACAUGCCAACUGUCCGUCACAUCCUCGAGGUGAAAGGGUGGAAGAAAGGGAGGUGAGCAAGGUGUGUACGCAUGCCCGUACAGGAGCUGGCCUGAGCUGUGUCAUGGCACAGAGUUUCAAAAUGGGACUGACAAAAGACCACAGGCCUGUGACCAGUUCUGAAAUCCUUACCUCAGCCUCUUGAGUGCUGGGAUUACAAAUGUAUCCCAUUGUGCUUCCCGAAGCAAGAUGUCCCACGAUGGAGAGAGGUGUCAGUAGAGGUGGGGAAGAGCAGACUGGUAAUCUGCCAGCUCCACCAAGACUCACCCUGUGGAUGACACCAGCAGCGUGGAUAUACUGUGAGAGAGAGGGAGUUCGGCCGUCAGCUCAGCGGGCGCCCC